AUCUCUCCGUCUGGCGAUGCCGCCAGUAAGGAAGCCCGGGCUCUGGCAACCGUGCGGCAGCCAACGCGGCGUCGUGUGCGCUGGAGGGGGCUCUGGCGACCGCGCGGCGUCCGGUCGUGGGUUCCGGCGACGCCAAGCCGUAGAUCUGAGCCGCCGUCUCCACUUUCCUCCUUCCUCACUUCAAGGGAUCCUCCGUAUCAAGGGAAGAGCGGGGUAGUGUGGGCGAGGGAAGUCCUUGUGUACCAGGUUUAUGAAAGAAACAGAAAAGAAACAAGAUGCAGUAAAAUUUAGGUGAAGAACAUUUUUCCAUAGCUUGUGAACAUGUUGGUCCUCCGAUUUUGAUUUUUCAUGAUUUGUAGUCCAUGCAUGCUUUUGAUAUUCAAUCACUUUAUUUGUUAAAUCCUACUAGAUUCUAAUUUCAGAAUUGGUAUUCUAUCUAGCUCUGAGACCUUGCCUUUAUUUUGUAUGAAGUUUACUAAUACAUUAAAUUGCAUGCAUGUGCUAUUGUAUUCCAUGGGCGCUACUAUUUCUGAUUACAUGCGAUUCCAUUUGGUUGCACUUUUAUUAUGUUUUUGUACAGAUCCUUUGAAGGUAGUGCUAUUGUUGAAUCUUGAUUCUUGAUGCUAUGGAUAUUGUCUGCUUUCAACCCCACCCUGUACUACUCACCAGGGUUUAGAUGAGGUGGACUCCGAAUCUGUGUCACUGAGCUUGAGGAGAGUAAUGCAACGAUCGUAGCCAUUGUAGCACCAGGUGGUAGGACCAAAACAUUUGCAUCUGCUGUUAUUGACAUGGUUGGAUCUUCAGGCUGGAAGCUUGCGUUAGUCGCAGCAAGGAUUACCAGCAGCAGCAACCAACCUGCAGAGAUGAAACUGAGAACAUUUUCACAGCCAGGGAAUAGAAAAGAAUAUGGAUGUGCCAGAAGAAGGAAAAUGUACAAUGAACCAGAAUGUACCAUGUCGAGUGGGAAUUCUCAAUUGACGAGACACCAAUGUACUGGUUUCGCACCCCCUCUGUGCGCGUGCUCCACUUUAUCCCCUGCAUUGCGCCUUCCGUCCCAGACACCCCCGGCUUCU